rnacentral:rRNA from 1 species
GUAGGUGGCGAGCGUUAUCCGGAUUUACUGGGCGUAAAGCGCGUGCAGGCGGUUUCGUAAGUCGGACGUGAAAGCUCCUGGCUUAACUGGGAGAGGCCGUUCGAUACUGCGGGACUUGAGGUCGGGAGAGGGACGUGGAAUUCCCGGUGUAGUGGUGGAAUGCGUAGAUAUCGGGAGGAACACCAGUGGCGAAGGCGGCGUCCUGGCCCGCACCUGACGCUAAGACGCGAAAGCGUGGGUAGCGAACGGGAUUAGAUACCCCGGGUAGUCCACGCCGUAAACGGUGGAUACUAGGUGUUGGUGGCUAUCGUCAUCAGUGCCGUAGCUAACGCGUUAAGUAUCCCGCCUGGGGACUACGGCCGCAAGGCUA